CACGAACCGGACGAACGUUAUUCGGAAUUAUUGGGCUUAAAGGGAGCGUAGGCGGUGCGGUAAGUGAGGUGUGUAAUGCCACGGCUCAACCGUGGAAUUGCGCUUCAUACUGCCGUGCUAGAGGGAGACAGAGGUAAGCGGAACUGAUGGUGGAGCGGUGAAAUGCGUUGAUAUCAUCAGGAACACCGGUGGCGAAAGCGGCUUACUGGGUCUUCUCUGACGCUGAGGCACGAAAGCUAGGGUAGCGAACGGG
rnacentral:misc_RNA from 1 species